rfam:Beta vulgaris subsp. vulgaris Bvchr7.sca017.con0030.1, whole genome shotgun sequence.
AGAUUAUGGUGUGGGCAUUCUCUCUACAGGUCUCUGAACCUUUUCCAUGCUUCCUUCAAUGUCUCAUCAGGUUCUUGUGGGAAGGUAGCAAGCUUGUGUCUGAUUUC